rnacentral:rRNA from 1 species
GAUGAACGCUAGCGACAGGCUUAACACAUGCAAGUCGAGGGGCAGCAUAAGCGGUAGUAAUACCGUUGGUGGCGACCGGCGCACGGGUGAGUAACACGUAUGCAACCUACCUACUACUGAGGGAUAACCCGUCGAAAGGCGGACUAAUACCUCAUAAUACAGGGAUACCGCAUGGUAAUAUUUGUUAAAGAUCCAUUGGUAGUAGAUGGGCAUGCGUAGCAUUAGAUAGUUGGUAAGGUAACGGCUUACCAAGUCAGCGAUGCUUAGGGGUUCUGAGAGGAAGGUCCCCCACACUGGUACUGAGACACGGACCAGACUCCUACGGGAGGCAGCAGUGAGGAAUAUUGGUCAAUGGUCGAGAGACUGAACCAGCCAAGUCGCGUGAAGGAAGACGGUGCUAUGCAUUGUAAACUUCUUUUGUAAGGGAAUAAAGUGCUUCACGCGUGGAGUUUUGUAUGUACCUUACGAAUAAGGAUCGGCUAACUCCGUGCCAGCCGCCGCUGUAAAAC